AUUGGAAUUGAAAAUCAGCUCUGCCCUGUGCUUAGGCUCGUCUUUUAACCUCAGUCUUCCUAUCUGUGAAAUGGAGUGCCCACACUGACCUUAGGGUUAUGGUGAGGGUUAGACACCAUGGCCAAUUUGAAAGUCCUUUGUAAACUGUGGAGUGCUGGGUCAGCCUGGAGGGUCAACACUACCCAGUGUCCCCUUGAACACUGCCAUCUUCAGCAGCUUGAUGGGGCUGGCAGAAGGCCACCAGGAUUACAAAGAAGAGUGCCCGACGGAGGAGAAAGAAACAUGCUUCCUACCCAGCCUGAAGCAAAAGGAAACUAUUCUGGAAUUCCUCUUAAUUGGAAAACAAAAUAUCAGUGGGUGGGUAGUCCUUGUGUGAUCCUCAAAUCCCCCAGGACAUCUUUAUGAAGACAUAGGCUCUAGGCCAAGAAUAGUCAAUGAUCAUGUUCUGGAAGAAACCCCACCUUGUCACUGGACGCUCUGCGCCAAGAGGAGGAGGAACAGCGCUAGAGGCACAUGCACGGUGCCAGUCAGCCAAACCCGGGGCAAGCAACAAAGGCAGAAUGCUCCUUUCACAUCCACGGCUCUCCCAGUGCUUGCCCCAAGGACUGGUUGAGGCCCGCUCAAUGCGCAGACAGGUGUGAACAGGAGAGACAAAACAGAAGAGACAGCUUCACUUUAUAACAAGGUGCUCUUGUGAAAAAGGACCCACUCCCUGGAGAAGGGUAAGAUUCUUCCUAAUGAUGUAGCCACCCUUAGAGGCCCCACCUCACAACACCACCAAAAUGAAAACCAAAUUAGCGUAUGACUCUCAGAGGAGACAAACCAUGUUUAAAAUACAGCAA